AUGUGUGUUACAAAAGACCAAGGAGGUAUGGGCUUCCGAGAUAUACACUGUUUCAACCAGGCGCUAUUAGCUAAACAAGCGUGGUGUCUUCGUGAUAAUCCUGAAUCUUUAUGUGCAACCAUCUUGAGAGCUAAAUAUUUCUCUGAGGGAGAUUUGAUGAACGCAAGUUUAAAGAAGGGAUCCUCUUUUACUUGGCAAAGCAUUAUGGCGGGAGUGAACUCUUUGAGAAAUGGUUAUAUCUGGCGAGUUGGAAAUGGACAAAACAUCGAUAUAUGGAGAGAUGCAUGGAUUCCGAAUUGUGCGAAUACGAAAAUUAUUACUCCUAGAGGUGCUACUUUGUCAAAGGUGGCUGAUCUUAUUGAUCCAAUCACGAAUUUUUGGGAUGAAGAUUUGGUGAGACAAACUUUGUGGCCAAUUGAUGUUUAAAGGGUCCUCGCGAUUUCCCUCCCUAUGCAUAAUAUGUCAGAUUUUAUUGCCUGGAGCUAUACAAAAAAUGGUGUAUUCACUGUUCGAUCAGCUUAUUUGGAGGAAUGGAACCAACAACAUGGGAGGAAAUUGCAAUAUACUAAUGGUAUGGGUCGUAUCAAUGUCAAUCCUAUUUGAGGUAAGAUUUGGAAAUUAUCAUGUCCGACAAAGGUAAAAAUAUUUAUUUGGCGAACGUUGCAUGGAACUCUACCGUGUCGUGUUACACUUGCCAAUAGACAUAAGAAAGUUUCGCCCCUUUGUCCAUCAUGCUCGAAUGGGCAAGAAGAUAGAAAACACAUCUUGUUUCUGUGUCAGAAGGCAAAAGAGGUUUGGGGUAAGCUGGGGAUGUACGAGGUAAUUAAGAAAGCUUGUGUUAUUGAUUGUGCGGGUGAGGAGGUUCUUGAAUUCUUAGUUCUUAUGUUGCACCAAGAACUAUCUAUAUUAGGUUGCUAG
rnacentral:rRNA from 1 species